UGGAAGAUUCGUGCUUUUUCUUGGCCUCCUCUUGUUCUUUGCCUCUGCGGCUCUGCGCACUCGGCUUCCUUCAGUCGACACUCAGACAGACCUCGGAGCAGAGAGGAUGAGGACGCGGGGGAAGGGGAGGAGGCGAUUCUGCUCGUCCGUUGGGAUUCCCCUUCAUUUUCUGGUGUCCCCCGUCCUCCGUCCUCCGUAAGGCCCUCGCGGGGUCGGCGUCCUCAUGGCUGCUCAACCUCGAUGGCGACGGCGCGGCGAGCGGGGCGCGCUGGAGCGGCCCUCGAAGCGGUUAGCGCUUCCGGGAGAACCUAGAGGCGCCCCCCGCAAGGUCGCCGCCGAGGCCGCGGCCGUCGGGCGCGCGUCUGCUCCGACCCCCAUUAUGGCGACUUUUCCUCGUCGUCGGCGGAGGCUUUUUCUCUUCCCCGUCCGGGGAGAGGUCAGGUGUCAGGUGGUUUCUGCAUUUGUGCUCGUUGGCGGCGAAGUUUGUCUGGUCCGCGCGGUGAGUUCGUCUGGCCACGUCACACCCACGGCUGCUUUGGUUCGCUUAAUCACACGGCUGAUUUCUUUCUCGCUUAUUUUUCUGGAGCGGAUGUGUCGAGGCGAAGGCAGCAGAGGCGGCCGCUUGCUCUUCGAUUUCCCCCAUAUCUGGUCAAUGGCGGACUAUGCUCGUGCGCGUCUGUUGAGUUUUGCUUGCUGUACUCUCACGGUGACCAUUUGCGAUGGAUGGGGUUCGAUUCAGGUUUGAGAAACAAAGAGCCAACGUUAGGUUGUGGUUGUAGCUACUAAGCGUCUUUGUGAUAGAACAUUUUGUAGGCUAGUUGUAGUAGUUUCCAGGCUUCAGAUUGAUUGGUGCAGAUACAGUUUUGGUGUAGAUGUUAUGAUGUGGAUCUGGCCCAGACUCGUUGCCUCUAACAAUGUGAUUAGCAAGUUUUUGGCUGCCAGGUCCAAUGACACUGCCUCUACUUAGUUUAUUUUGAGUGCUAGCUGCAGUGUUUUAUUUUCUACUGCGAAAUUAACUUCAUGAGUUGUGCUUUCAGAAAUCACCCUCAAUUCUUAACGACACGGGAAUAGACAAUUGUUAACUUUUGUGAUCAUUCUCUAGACGAGGAUUUAAGCUUUGAUCCAGACACUGAACAAGGAGAGAGCUUUCUAGGAGGCAUGCUAUAGGUUGGCUGUCUUUUGAAGUUGGUUCUCUUGUAUUGUUCUGUUGAAUACUGCGUAGUAUCAUGGAAACUAACCAAAUGUAAGAUUAGUUUAUAUUCAGAUUUCAUUUCAUAAAUUGUUCUGUUAUAUUGCAUUAUAUGCUUAUCCCCAUUGUUGUAAUAUUAAUUUAUUUUUAUUAAAAAAGAGAGAUUGCUCAUAUUAGUUUGCUUC